rnacentral:rRNA from 1 species
GCCCUCCUACGGGGGGCAGCAGUGGGGAAUAUUGGGCAAUGGGCGCAAGCCUGACCCAGCAACGCCGCGUGAAGGAAGAAGGCUUUCGGGUUGUAAACCUCUUUUUUCAGGGACGAAGCAAGUGACGGUACCUGACGAAUAAGCCACGGCUAACUACGUGCCAGCAGCCGCGGUAAUACGUAGGUGGCAAGCGUUAUCCGGAUUUAUUGGGUGUAAAGGGCGUGUAGGCGGGAAUGCACGUCAGAUGUUAAAACUAU